GUGCCAGCAGCCGCGGUAAUACGUAGGAUGCAAGCGUUGUUCGGAAUUAUUGGGUGUAAAGGGCGCGUAGGUGGCCCUGUAAGUCAUGGGUGAAAUCCCUCGGCUUAACCGAGGAAUUGCCUAUGAUACUGCAGGGCUUGAGUACGGGAGAGGGAAGUGGAAUUCCUGGUGUAGCGGUGAAAUGCGUAGAUAUCAGGAGGAACACCGGUGGCGAAGGCGGCUUCCUGGACCGAUACUGACACUGAGGCGCGAAAGCGUGGGUAGCAAACAGGAUUAGAUACCCUGGUAGUCCUAGCCCUAAACCAUCAGGACUUGGCGUGGGCCCCGUCCGGGGUCCGUGUCGUAGCCAACGUGAUAAGUCCUGCGCCUGGGGAGUACGGUCGCAAGGCUGAAACUUAAAUGAAUUGGCGG
rnacentral:rRNA from 1 species